ensembl:lncRNA FENDRR FOXF1 adjacent non-coding developmental regulatory RNA
GGUAAAACUGCCCAGGCCCCGGGUAUCAGGAUCAUACUCAAACCCCAACCCCUGCCCGCCCCAGCCAGGAGGGGAGACGGUUGGGAGUGGGAGGCCUCGGCGCUGUUCUCUGGAUGCAACUGAGAUUGCCGCUAGAGGGUGACGCCUGGGUCGGAAUCCAAGGAUUUGUGAAGAGGUGACCCAAAUUUCAAGACAAUGUUGGAUGCAAACGGAUUUGCCAGCAACUGCAUCACUGUCAAAACCAGCUCUGCCCGUGUCUUCCGAAGAUACCAAGUGAAAUACAUGUAGAUGGGAUUUACAUCUGAAAAACCAAGUGAGAAACUGAAGACCAGAGAGGGUGAGUGGUUUACUCAGUUUGGCACAACUGACCCCAACCUAGCCCUCCAUGAGGACUGAGCGCAUGAGAGAUCCUGAGCCACAGCCGCCCAGCCCUGCUCCUCUCGAAUUUCUGACCUACAGGAACUGCAAGAAGUAAUGAAAGACUGCUGUUUAAAGCCACUGCAUUUUGGCAUGAUUUGUUAUGCAGUCGUAGAUAACCAGAAAACAUCGGAUUUACAUUUUAAGGUAAACUUUUUAUUGAAACAUCACAUACACACAGAGAC